rnacentral:rRNA from 1 species
GCGACCCCAGGAUGGGCGAGGCCACCCGCCGAGUUUAAGCAUAUCAAUUAGCGGAGGAGAAG